GCGGCAGGCCUAACACAUGCAAGUCGAGCGGUAGCACAGAGAGCUUGCUCUCGGGUGACGAGCGGCGGACGGGUGAGUAAUGUCUGGGAAACUGCCUGAUGGAGGGGGAUAACUACUGGAAACGGUAGCUAAUACCGCAUAAUGUCGCAAGACCAAAGUGGGGGACCUUCGGGCCUCAUGCCAUCAGAUGUGCCCAGAUGGGAUUAGCUAGUAGGUGGGGUAACGGCUCACCUAGGCGACGAUCCCUAGCUGGUCUGAGAGGAUGACCAGCCACACUGGAACUGAGACACGGUCCAGACUCCUACGGGAGGCAGCAGUGGGGAAUAUUGCACAAUGGGCGCAAGCCUGAUGCAGCCAUGCCGCGUGUGUGAAGAAGGCCUUCGGGUUGUAAAGCACUUUCAGCGGGGAGGAAGGCGGUGAGGUUAAUAACCUCAUCGAUUGACGUUACCCGCAGAAGAAGCACCGGCUAACUCCGUGCCAGCAGCCGCGGUAAUACGGAGGGUGCAAGCGUUAAUCGGAAUUACUGGGCGUAAAGCGCACGCAGGCGGUCUGUCAAGUCGGAUGUGAAAUCCCCGGGCUUAACCUGGGAACUGCAUUCGAAACUGGCAGGCUAGAGUCUUGUAGAGGGGGGUAGAAUUCCAGGUGUAGCGGUGAAAUGCGUAGAGAUCUGGAGGAAUACCGGUGGCGAAGGCGGCCCCCUGGACAAAGACUGACGCUCAGGUGCGAAAGCGUGGGGAGCAAACAGGAUUAGAUACCCUGGUAGUCCACGCCGUAAACGAUGUCGAUUUGGAGGUUGUGCCCUUGAGGCGUGGCUUCCGGAGCUAACGCGUUAAAUCGACCGCCUGGGGAGUACGGCCGCAAGGUUAAAACUCAAAUGAAUUGACGGGGGCCCGCACAAGCGGUGGAGCAUGUGGUUUAAUUCGAUGCAACGCGAAGAACCUUACCUGGUCUUGACAUCCACAGAACUUUCCAGAGAUGGAUUGGUGCCUUCGGGAACUGUGAGACAGGUGCUGCAUGGCUGUCGUCAGCUCGUGUUGUGAAAUGUUGGGUUAAGUCCCGCAACGAGCGCAACCCUUAUCCUUUGUUGCCAGCGGUCCGGCCGGGAACUCAAAGGAGACUGCCAGUGAUAAACUGGAGGAAGGUGGGGAUGACGUCAAGUCAUCAUGGCCCUUACGACCAGGGCUACACACGUGCUACAAUGGCAUAUACAAAGAGAAGCGACCUCGCGAGAGCAAGCGGACCUCAUAAAGUAUGUCGUAGUCCGGAUUGGAGUCUGCAACUCGACUCCAUGAAGUCGGAAUCGCUAGUAAUCGUAGAUCAGAAUGCUACGGUGAAUACGUUCCCGGGCCUUGUACACACCGCCCGUCACACCAUGGGAGUGGGUUGCAAAAGAAGUAGGUAGCUUAACCUUCGGGAGGGCGCUUACCACUUUGUGAUUCAUGACUGGGGUGAAGUCGUAACAAGGUAACCGUAGGGGAACCUGCGGUUGGAUCACCUCCUUA
rnacentral:rRNA from 1 species